UACGAAGGGGGCUAGCGUUGCUCGGAAUCACUGGGCGUAAAGGGUGCGUAGGCGGGUCUUUAAGUCAGGGGUGAAAUCCUGGAGCUCAACUCCAGAACUGCCUUUGAUACUGAAGAUCUUGAGUUCGGGAGAGGUGAGUGGAACUGCGAGUGUAGAGGUGAAAUUCGUAGAUAUUCGGAGGAACACCAGUGGCGAAGGCGGCUCACUGGUCCAUUACUGACGCUGAGGUGCGAAAGCGUGGGGAGCAAACGGG
rnacentral:rRNA from 1 species